UAGGGAAUCUUCCACAAUGGACGCAAGUCUGAUGGAGCAACGCCGCGUGAGUGAAGAAGGUUUUCGGACCGUAAAGCUCUGUUGUUGGUGAAGAAGGAUAGAGGUAGUAACUGGCCUUUAUUUGACGGUAAUCAACCAGAAAGUCACGGCUAACUACGUGCCAGCAGCCGCGGUAAUACGUAGGUGGCAAGCGUUGUCCGGAUUUAUUGGGCGUAAAGCGAGCGCAGGCGGAAGAAUAAAUCUGAUGUGAAAGCCCUCGGCUUAACCGAGGAAUUGCAUCGGAAACUGUUUUUCUUGAGUGCAGAAGAGGAGAGUAGAACUCCAUGUGUAGCGGUGGAAUGCGUAGAUAUAUGGAAGAAUACCAGUGGCGAAGGCGGCUCUCUGGUCUGCAACUGACGCUGAGGCUCGAAAGCAUGGGUAGCGAACAGGAUUAGAUACCCUGGUAGUCCAUGCCGUAAACGAUGAGUGCUAAGUGUUGGGAGGCUUCCGCCUCUCAGUGCUGCAGCUAACGCAUUAAGCACUCCGCCUGGGGGAGUACGACCGCAAGGUUGAAACUCUAAAG
rnacentral:rRNA from 1 species